CCUACGGGCGGCAGCAGUGGGGGAUAUUGCACAAUGGGGGAAACCCUGAUGCAGCGACGCCGCGUGAGUGAAGAAGUAUUUCGGUAUGUAAAGCUCUAUCAGCAGGGAAGAAAAUGACAGUACCUGACCAAGAAGCCCCGGCUAACUACGGGCCAGCAGCCGCGGUAAUACGUAGGGGGCAAGCGUUAUCCGGAUUUACUGGGUGUAAAGGGAGCGUAGACGGUUAUGUAAGUCUGGAGUGAAAGCCCGGGGCCCAACCCCGGGACUGCUUUGGAAACUGUGUAACUGGAGUGCAGGAGGGGCAGGCGGAAUUCCUGGGGUAGCGGUGAAAUGCGUAGAUAUCAGGAGGAACACCGGCGGCGAAGGCGGCCUGCUGGACUGAAACUGACGUUGAGGCUCGAAAGCGUGGGGAGCAAACAGGAUUAGAUACCCGAGUAGUC
rnacentral:rRNA from 1 species